rnacentral:lncRNA from 1 species
AUGGACACGAUGAGGACCCCAGCACAGGGCCUGGCGUUCGGAUGCUCCAAACACUGGCUCUCGUCCUGGCUGGCUCAGCCCUGCUCGGCACCAGCCCAGUGGGCCCCGGUGGGCGCUUCCCGCCUGGAGGACACCCAGCCUCGGGCUGAGCUCUCUGGAGCCCACCUGAGUCCAGCCCCUUCCCAGCGGCCUGCAGCAGGCUCCUGUGGGCCAGGCGCCCUCUCCUGCUGCCUGAGGGCCAGCUGGACGCGAGGGCAGACCAGCCCGUGGGCCGCUUACAGCAGCCUGUACAGCCCUGGGCAGCGCCUGGCCCAGGGGACACCAGGUGGCCUAGUUCACAGGCCACUCACAAGCCUGGGAGGGCCCCUUAGGUCAGACUCAGCCCGACUGAGGUCUGGUGCCCGCAGGCCAGGCCCUUGGGAAAGGGGCAGUGGGGUUUGGAUGAGGGAGACUGAGCCCCGGUUCCCCGCAGUCCCCAUCUGCCCUCAGAGACCUGUGGGCCCUGAGCCUGGGCCCUGCUGCGGGUGUGGUCAGGGCGGGGUCAGCUUUGCUUGGGAACCCCGCCCGCUUGAAGACGGUUUUAUCCACAUCCUUAAAGCCAGCUCUUGCGCUGCGGGGUUCCUGACCAGCCCCGAAAGAGGCUGUACCAGGGUCAGCCAGGGAGUGGGGGCGGGGCAGGGGAGGGGCCUGGAGCGGGAGUGGGACGUGUCCAGGGACCAGGGUGCAGAGAAGGGCUCAGGCUCAGAGCGCACAGAGACUGGGGAGAGAAGUGUUCAGAGAGGGCCCGGCACAGGGAGGCGAGCACUCCGAGGAGAAGGGGUCCCUGAGAAGGACCCAGGCUGGGAGGAGAGAGGGUCGUGGAGGGAAGGGAGGCCGGUUGAGAGGGUCAGAGCAGAGCCGGGCUUCACGGGAGGAAGGGCUCAGAGCACAGCCUGGGGGGAGAACAGGGGUUCGAGGGAGACGAGGGAGGGAACAGGCUGCCACACAGAAGGGCAGCUUCAGGGGGUGGCGGGGUUGGAGGUUCUGGGCUCCAUGGGGGCCGGCAGAUGGGUGAAGAGGACCCAGCUCAGAGAGGGCCACUGCGCAGUGAAGUGGGGACUCAGGGCGCAGCAGGGGGGCUGGGGUUUCUCCAUGGCAGAGGGUAUCCUUGGGACUUUUGCAGGAAGGGGAAGCCACUUGGGGGCAAGUGUCAAAGAGAUAAUGAAAGCAAGGUGGGGUAGACGGGGGCUGGCAGGCUGA